UGAAUACGAGAUGCUACGGCGUCGAAGCAGUCUAUGUCAUACUUCCAAGAAAAGCUUGCACUGUCAUAAACAAAUAAUGCCUGUACCAUAACCGACACAGGUGGGUAGGUAGAGUAUACUAAGGGGCGCGAGAUAACUCUCUCUAAGGAACUCGGCAAAAUGACUCCGUAACUUCGGGAGAAGGAGUGCCUUAUUUAUAAGGUUGCAAUAACAAGAUCCAAGCAACUGUUUACCAAAAACACAGGUCUCCGCUAAGUCGUAAGACGAUGUAUGGGGGCUGACGCCUGCCCAGUGCCAGAAGGUUAAAGAAGUUGGUUAGCAUCCGCGAAGCUGAUAACUGAAGCCCUGGUGAACGGCGGCCGUAACUAUAACGGUCCUAAGGUAGCGAAAUUCCUUGUCGGGUAAGUUCCGACCCGCACGAAAGGCGUAAUGAUUUGGAUACUGUCUCGGAGAGGGGCUCGGUGAAAUAGACUUGUCUGUGAAGAUGCGGACUACCUGCACCAGGACAGAAAGACCCUAUGAAGCUUUACUGUAACCUGAAAUUGAAAUUGGACUUUACUUGCGCAGUAUAGGUGGGAGGCGUUGAGAAUAUUCUUGCGGGAUUAUUGGAGCCAUCAGUGAGAUACCACUCUUGUAAUGUUAGAUUUCUAACUUUGUAUCAUUAUCUGGUCAAAGAACAGUUUCAGGCGGGCAGUUUGACUGGGGCGGUCGCCUCCUAAACGGUAACGGAGGCGCACAAAGGUUUCCUCUGAACGGGUAGAAAUCGUAUCUAGAGUGUAAAGGCAUAAGGAAGCUUGACUGUGAGACCUACAAGUCGAGCAGGGACGAAAGUCGGUCUUAGUGAUCUGACGGUGCUGAGUGGAAAGGCCGUCACUCAACGGAUAAAAGUUACUCUAGGAUAACAGGCUGAUCUCCCCCAAGAGUUCACAUCGACGGGGAGGUUUGGCACCUCGAUGUCGGCUCAUCGCAUCCUGGGGCGGUAGUACGUCCCAAGGGUUGGGCUGUUCGCCCAUGAAAGCGGUACGCGAGCUGGGUUCAGAACGUCGUGAGACAGUUCGGUCCAUAUCCGGUGUAGGCGUUAGAAUAUUGAGAGGAGCCUUCUUUAGUACGAGAGGACCGAGAAGGACAUACCUCUGGUGUACCAGUUAUCGUGCCAACGGUAAACGCUGGGUAGCUAUGUGUGGAGUGGAUAACCGCUGAAAGCAUCUAAGUGGGAAGCCCACCUCAAGAUAAGUAUUCCC
rnacentral:rRNA from 1 species